GCCACCGCACCCGGCCGGGAGAGUGUUUUAUAAGUUGAAAAACACUAGAAAAAUAAUAUUAGCUAUUAUAAUUGGUCCACUCAACUUCCUCAGAUGGAGUUCGCCCCAAGCAAAACAAAUUUCCCUCAACUCCACCCCAUAAACUGCAAGUCCCCAUAACUGCCCCUCCUCUUCUCCUCCUUUCCAGGCUCACCCAAACUUGGCUUCCUCUGCCUGUCCCAGGCACAGGCCUGGCAGGAAGUGACCAGCCUCCCAUUAGCUCUUGCCACAGGUCUGGGAGAGUUCACAGGCUGCUGAGCUGAGAUAAGAGGACCGGCAGGAACUGAGGGUUUCCUCACCCUAGAAAAGCACCUCCUCCUACUACUCCUUUGCCCUCCAGACUCAAGGCAGGAAGAGAAACCUGGGGAAGGGGCCUCAGAGGAGAGGCCUCCAUCAUGUGUUCAUUCUGACUGCUCAAACUGUUCCUUCCAUUUUGGGACCAGGGAACAGAGCUCACUUAAUGCUGCUCUCCCACUGAUGAUGCCCACCCAUUCUCGGCCUGCAAGCCCUACCACUCACAGCUUCAAAAAUGGCUCCGCCCUUCCUGAUUCCACCCCACACAGAAGAAAGCAACUUCUUGUGAUGCUUCCUUAUUCUGGAUGUGGCUCACCUCUUACCCCUUCCAACUCCUUUGGGUCCCCUAGAAAGCCUCCCUGGCUAAGGGGUACAGGCCCUCUCCUCAGCAGUGGGCACUGACCGUCUAACCAGGGCUCUGUCUCGGCACCUGGUAGCAAGGACGGCAAGAUACAACAACAUGCUGAUUUUAAUAGCCUCUGGCUUUCUCCACUGCGUUUCUCACCUGAAUGCCCUGCACACCAAAUCUUCCAUGGGGUCACCCUUGACCUCUAGGGCAAUUCCCAAGAAUCUAGCAGAGGAGUGGGGGAAACCAAAAGGCUGACAUGAAGGACUCAAGGGAAGCCUCUGGAAAGAAGAGACCAGACACUAAAAGGGAUGUGUGUGAAAUACUGGUUUUUAUUGGUUGGCACAAGAUUACAACCUACAAUUUCAAUGCCCUUCCCUCCCACACAGCUCAAAUGGAAGGAAACUGAUUAACACAUAGAAAGGAACGGCAGGCUCACAGGUUUAAGCAUUUGUUUUUACAAAAAGGAGUGGGAUAUGGGGGUGGUCAAGUUUUACGGGUAAUAACAACAUUCUCUCUAGAUGGCAGGGGGUAAGUCUGCCUGUCCUCCAUUGCUGGUACCACAUAAGGGAUACAUUAGUAAAGUAGGGAAAGGGUUAUAUGUGUGGCUGGCCUGUUCUUUAGAGAGGAAGGUGGGAUGGUAUCUGCUGUGUACCUGUCUCAGACCAAACCUGGGGCUGGACCAGUGCCCCUUUCUUCUCAGCCCUCCUCCACAGCCUGACUGUACUGCCAGCCGCACCCAUGAGAAGGAGGUGUGAAGGAAGCCUGAGGACAUCCACCUCGAGAAAAGGAAACAGGAAAACUAUUUCCUUCCGCCUUCUCUGGACCAAAUUUCACUCCCCUCAGCUCCAGAGAGUGCUGCAAAAAUCUUCCUUAGGGACGCUGUGAAGACACGGGGAAGAGGCCAGCCCUGAGCGGGCAAGAAGAAAAGCUUGAACUUUCCAUGCAGUACCAAGCAAGGCUAUUUUGGAAACAAGCAAACAAACAAAAAAUGGAAACCAACACCAUAUAACCACAGGUUGGGUAGCUCCUAAAUCCUGGACAGCAUUUGGAUUGGGGGUAAGGGCAAUUUUACUCCAGCUCCUUGUUUUAUAACCCGCACAAGGUGCCAAGAGGUUUAAGGACCACAACUGACCUCUCUUUCCCUACAAGCACCAUUCCUUGGAUUCCCAGUUUUGUUGAGCUCAUUUGAGGUCAUCCUUGCCAUCCUCUUAAAAAAUGACACAGCCUCUUGGUUAUUCCAUUUUCUAUCCCUUUCUACAAUUAUGAACACACUCUCUAAACAGGAGAUCUAUAUAUGCUCUCAUCCUGCAACCCAAGAGAUUAGGUGACCUAAUGAUGAGAAGGCUAACUUAUUUGCUUUCCUGGGUGGUCCUGAUGGAAAUGAACAGCAGCAGAGUUCUGGUGGGAUAGAGCAGUCUAGUCUGAGCCACUGUGUGAUUCCCCAGGGGACUGGUCCCUGGGUACAUGGGUCCCUGGCUCUCUGUCUCAGUUCCACAGAUAUUACUCAACUUGGCCAUUUACGCCUCAGCUAAAACAUAUGAGCAUGAGGGAAAAGGGACAAGAAAUACUUUUGUCCUCUAGAAAAACUUAACUCAAUACAUCUUGGCUACUUUGCCUCAACCCACGGGGUUCCCUGGAAACAUUUGUUGAACUUGGCCAAGAGGAGAUUGUAUAUGGAUGGCACACCUGGAAAAGGGGAGAAAGCACACUAGUUCAUCUCUUUUAUAAGUAGAAUGGUCCCAGGGAUGUUAACCUUUCUGAUGCUGAUAGUAGAUGAGUGGAGUGGAGGUAAUCGUGAGAAAACUUAAAAACCCUUAAGCUGUUUGGAGACUACACACCACAGUGGAGCAAACCAAGGUGGGGCCUCACUGCCUCCUCAGAGCCCAUCCCUGACCAUGUCAUUGGAUAGGAUGGAAGACAAAGUCUUUGAAAUGGAGGCUGGGCUGGCAAAAGUGAUAUCCCAAGUGACACAGAAACACAGCUCCUCCGGAUGGUGAAGUCUCCGCUGCAAAACUCACGAAACAGCACAGAGGAUGACUCUAGGGUGCUCUCCCACUUGCUCCAAGUUAGGCAGGUGCCCUGAUGGAGGCAAGGCUGAGCCAUUAACAUGCACAGCUCCAUAUCCUGGAAGCCUCUGUAGCCUUGAGGAGAUAGGCUCUAUCCAACAGGACUCAGAAUAAAUGACUGCCACCUCAACUGAGCAGUAUGAACUGCCCACCUCAACUGGGCAGUCUGACCUCUUCCACAGUCUUUAAGAAACAGAAGAGCCAUUUGCAUUAUUUAAUCACCAUUCAAUAAUCUCCUCCCUCCCCAUAGCUGCUUGAGUUAACUGUCCCACAAGUGUCCUGUGUUUUGUAAAGAUGAGGGUUAUUUUCUGAAAUGCAGAUGGGACUAGGAUGAAGCUGUAUUAUCAAUUACAGAGACAGCCAACUCUCAUUUCUCUUAAAGCAAAAAUUCAUUCCACUGUGAUUUCUCCAGGUAUUUCCUGCAAUUCUAAAUCCGCCCUUGAUAUUAGAGAAUAUUAAAAUCACACAGUUGUGGCAAAAAUCACAUUGUGGCUAUUAAAUCCUUUUUGUGAACUAAAAAAAGUGAAUGUGGCUUAGGCUAAGCUGUUUUUUUUUUUUUUUUUUUAAAGAUGAGGAUGCGGACUCCAACAAAGGCAUUAAGAAAGUACUAGAUGAAAAUGAGAAAUAUGUGAAGGAUAACAUGUGAAAUGUACACUCAGGUCUAACAAAUACCUAUUAUUUCUCUGGUUAAGAAGGUUUAGCAGGAGCCUCCAAUGAGCACUGUAUGUAGAGAAAAGGGAAGGAGCAGGAGGAGGAACAGAUCUGCACAGAAUUUUUUUCUUAAAAACCACAAAGGGUGACUUUUUUCUUCUAAGCAAGCAAGCCUGAGAGGCAUUACAUGGGCUGGCUCCUAAUAUCAAAACAAAAUAUUUCUUUGCCACAAAGGAACUUGACUAUGUAGCAACACAUUUACAAAACUACUGCAAAACACUCCCAGAGGGCAGUGACCUACUCUGCUCCCCAGAGGCUCCAAGAAGCAAGGCCUCAAGUGCCUCAUGUUCCAUGGGGCUGUGCAGUGCAAUGCAGAAGGCGGAAAUCCUGCUGUGACGCCACCCUCGAGACCUUCUGCAGCCUGAGAGGGGGUGAUACUCCCACACCCUUUGAUCCUUCCAGAUGGCUCAGCCUAGAUCUAGCAGUGAGAGAGCCCUCUCCAUGCAGGGCAGAUGGAGUGGUGGACACUUGUGAAAACAAAACACUAACUGUUCCAUCCUGUUAUAUUUGCUGUGAGGAAAAUUAAGAUUCCUGUUGUAUGGGCUGCACUGUUUCUGGAAGACUACAGAAAAUCUAACAUGGUUGACACUUCCUGGUAGCCCUUCUGUACAUACACACACACACACCCAGAGAGAAGACAGAGAGAAAAUCCUGGUCCAAAAGAUCACAUGACCUUACUAGUGUUUCCCCAAUGACUGUAAUUUAUAAACUAAAAAUUUUUACAAAUCCACUGCUAUCUUCUUCUGUCCUGAGUUUGGUAGACUUUAAUGGAUGCUCCAGCAAUAACCAGAAUCUAGGACAUGCAGACUCACUGUGAGCGAGAGGCUAGGGAUCUGCCCUAAACAUAGGAACCUGUUUCUAUCAAGCCUGAAUGAGGUCAGCUCUGGUAGAAUUAAUGACAAAUCAAUGUCAGUGAAAUAUUCUGCAAACAGGGUAGCUUUUGUGCUUUCUUUUGAUUAUUUUCUUUGGGGAGAUAAAGGUAUUGCAACCAUGGGUCUAACUAAUCUAUCACUAAAGGACUGUGACGACAUUCUCAAUAAAGACAGUCAUGGUGUUUACUGUGCCAAGGAGGGAAAAUCCCAGAUCAUCAGAAUCCCAGUGCAACAGAAAACAGCACCAGUUUCAACAAUUCUGAUGUUGGACAAAGCCUCUUUUUGUCAGUUAAGAAAGCGUAAGCACAAUCUCUCAGUCAAUUGCAUUAACAGGAAUCCAUUCAUGUCACUGAAAAAUACUUCUUGGCACAGUUCACUUUCCUGACCCAAAGACACCAACAACAAUCAAAACUGCACUUUCAGGGUAGUAUAUUGUUACACUAGCCCAGUCAAAACAUACUCAGAACAUUUAAAAAUGUAUAAAUUACUGUUAGCACUGCAGUUCCGUUUUAUUUUCUUAUUUAUUUAUUAAGACAGAGUCUUACUCUGUUGCCCAGGCUGGAGUGCAGUGGCAUGAUCUUGGCUUACUGCAACCUCUGCCUCCCAGGUUUAAGCAAUUCUCAUGCUUCAGCCUACCAAGUAGCUGGGAUUACAGGAGUGCACCAUCAUGCCCAGCUAAUUUUUGUAUUUUAGUAGAGAUGGGGUUUUGCCAUGUUGGUCAGGCUGGUCUCAAACUCCUGGCCUCAAGUGACCCACCUGCCUUGGCCUCCCAAAGUGCUGGGAUUACAGGUGUGAGCCACUACACCCAGCCCUGCAGUCCCUUUUUAAAGAGUACUGACUGUUUUCCUGCAAAGUACUUUCAAAUCCAUACCAUAAAGGUAGAAUUUAUCUGGAAGAAUGUGUUUUUUGAAUUCCACCUGGCACUUGGUUAAAUCUACUUUAUUUUGCCCUUUAUUUAUUUGAACAGAACUUUAGAAUGCUCUAGGUCAGGAAAAGAAACAGUGUGUUCGUUUUUAAGAAGGAUGUGUGAAUAGUAAGUUGGCAUUCAGACUCAAGUCCCAUGGUAUUGUUCUUAUCCAAUGGGACCUCUCCUUGGGAAUAUAAUUCCUUUCCCAGAGGUAUCAUGGUAUCCCAAGAAUAUAACUGCUCUUUGGCUCUGUGUGUGAAGAUUGGGGGAGAGGAUGUAAACUAAGAGUAUAUAGCAAAAAAAAAAAAAAAAAUUUUUUUUUUUUUUUUUUGAGAUGGAGUUUCACUCUUAUCACCCAGGCUGGACGACAGUGGUGCAAUCUCGGCUCACUGCAACCUCUGCCUCCCAGGUUCAAGCGAUUAUCUCGCCUCAGCCUCCCAAGUAGCUGGGAUUACAGGCGCCCACCUAAUUUCUGCAUUUUUAGUAGAGACGGGGUUUCACCAUGUUGGUCAGGCUGGUCUCAAACUCCUGACCUCAGGUGAUCCACCUGCCUCAGCCUCCCAAAGUGCUGGGAUUACAGGUGUGAGCCACCGUGCCCAGUGAGUAGACAGCAAAAUUUAAAGUUCACCAACUGAUGUUCCCAAAAGUGCUGAACACUAAAUGACACAGGGCUAUGAGGUACAUACAUUUCUUUUAGUAGGAGGGAAAAGUAAAAGCUUUUCAAAGUUUGAGUGCUUUAUUAGAAUUUUUAAAUGAGGCGAACUAUGAUUUUAAUUUCACAUCUUGGCUAAGGAGAUGCCACUGGAGUACAGAGAUAAUCUCCUGUCUUAAGCCACGGAUCAGUCAGUGUAGCCCUCCCUACCCCUCAAUCUCAAGACCCUCUUACUUCCGAACUAAACAACACAAUUGGCAAAUGAAGCCAGCACGAAACUGUAUCAAAAAACAAGAGAGUCUGCAGUGAGCCAGUGUAUUAUGUAACCACUGUAAUAAGUGAUUACGUGGCCUCCCAUAUGGACCUUUCAUAUCCUGGUGGGAGAUGGGAGACCAAUUUAAUAGCUCUGAGCAUGCUCCAUGGUGCAAUCACAAGUGCCAUGCCAAUACAAAGACAAGCAAGCAGGUGAAUUUCCCUAGUGUACUUUUCAGGAACACGGUUACUCAGUUCAGGGACAGGACUACAUUGAUGCACCUGCAAAGUAAAGUUGGAUGCUUCAGAGCACAUGGAUGAUACCCAGGUCAGCACGGUGUAAGGCAUAUAUGGACACAAAGAGAGGCCAUUGUUGGCAAUAAAUAGCAUUACGGAAAAGAUUCCAAACCAGCAGAACAGAAAUGGACCUGAUGCUCCAGUUUUUUAGAUAAGUAAUCCCAAGAAUCCAGUUCCAACUCUACUGUCAACAUGUGGGGCAGAAUUCAAUUUCUAUCAUUGUUUUUACAGAUCUGGGCUGAGGCCAUUUGCUCCUUGCUUGGUUAAAAAAAAAUAAAAAAAUAAAAAAAGGUUUCUUCCUGUUUCUUUCUGGGCAGGGAAAUACAGCUUAAAGAAGGAAAGGCCAUGAGUCCUGGGAGCACUAUGAAGGUAGCUAAACUCUUCCCAUAUCUACAGUCAAUGACUGGGAAAUAGAGAAAGGACAGGGCAACCUGCCCAGCCACUAGCAUCGAAAACAAAAAGGUAUGUUAAUUGUGAGGCUCUCAAUUCUAGAAAUGCCCAAAUUAAAAGAGAAAAAAACCUUGAAAAAUUAAACAAAUUUCUCUUUCUAGAAGUCAUUUAUUUACAUAUUAUAUGUCCGAUAUAUAAUGUGUAGAUAAAUGUAUACUGCAGUGAAAGUGACCACUCUACUGAACUGUACAGCACAUUAUAGGACAAAUUAUUGGAAGUUUUCAUCUCAUACUGGUAUCUUUUAAUAAAAAAAAAAAAUUAAAAAUCAAAGAAAACGUCUGGCCAGGGCCAGGAUAAG
rnacentral:lncRNA from 10 species